UGGGGAAUUUUGGACAAUGGGGGCAACCCUGAUCCAGCCAUGCCGCGUGAAGGACGAAGGCCUUCGGGUUGUAAACUUCUUUGAUCAGGGACGAAUAAAUGACGGUACCUGAAGAACAAGCCACGGCUAACUACGUGCCAGCAGCCGCGGUAAUACGUAGGUGGCAAGCGUUAUCCGGAUUUACUGGGUGUAAAGGGCGUGUAGGCGGGUCUGCAAGUCGGAUGUGAAAUUCCCGAGCUUAACUCGGGCGGGUCAUCCGAAACUGCAGAUCUUGAGUACUGGAGAGGAUAGUGGAAUUCCUAGUGUAGCGGUAAAAUGCGUAGAUAUAACACAGAACACCGAUCGCGAAGGCAGCUCACUAAACUUUGACUGACGCUCAUGCACGAAAGCGUGGGGAUCA
rnacentral:rRNA from 1 species